CAAUGCAGCCCAGACUAAGCCCCUGCAUGGAAACGCACAUUUCUCCUGCCUCAGCUGCUCCUCCAGACAAGCAGAAGUGUGGCUCCCGACAAAGGGAUAUGGACCCCUGCUUCAUUCAUGCACAGGAUGCUCAGGAAAUGAAGCAGGUGUAGUGAAGGAGGCUAUUGUCCAUAGGGCCCCUGCCUCAUUUGUUGCGGAAACUGGAAGGUGAGUAGUGAAUGAGGCAGCGAAGUGCAAGAAGAGAGAGGCUGAUCUCAAAGUGGAGGCAGUCGAACGACACCCUGGAGAACUGGAUUCUGGCCCUGCCUCUGCCCCACAGUUCCUACAUGAUAAUUGCUGCUGCCGCCAUUGCGGCUUUGAGGCAGUCCCCCUCCACACCCAUGGAACCAGAUAAGAAGGAGAAUGAAGAGGACUCUGGGUGACAUGUUCAGGGAGAUCCUGCAAGCCAGUGCUGCAUCAAACCACGAACAGAGGUUCACCUGGAGGGUGAACACUGCAGACAGCCUGGAGAAAGAAAGAGUGGACAGGAGAAAGACCCAGGAGUCCCUGCCAGAAAAGGAGAGGGAGAUGCACCAGGACAUCAUGGAGCUUCUCUGGCCACAAACACAGUUGCUGCAGACUCUUGUGGACCUACAGGUUCAACAAUCCCAGGCUCACCUCCCUGUGCAAUCCAUGGAGAUCUCCAUUGCAGCACCUCCCUCCUCCCCUUCUCAAUAUUGCACAUGGUAUCAAAGGCUGAAGCCGAGCCACUGCCAUCCUGGGGGACAUUAAGGACAGCCACAGCUUCACACCACCAACAACCUUGAAUUGGUUCUCACCAUGUCCCACAACAAUCUGUCCUCCAAGAAAUUAUCAUGUUCCCCGCUGAUUCAGUUCUCCUCAUAGCUUUACAAAUGCCAGAGGAUCGUGCACCCUAUGCUUGCAAUGCUUGUGACAUUAGUGAAGAGCUGUGCAGACUCCAUGCUUCUAUCAGAGGUGGCAGCUAGCAAGGUGCACGUUCAUGUGAUUUUGAAAAAAAGGUGCAAAAUUAUGGGCUAUAGAUGACAUUAUGGGAUGGGAAAAGUUGCACAGUGGGAAGUUGACCCUUUGCCAGUAACCCCUGCAGCCCCACAAUCAUUGCACAUUGGGAUGGUGCACCACACUGUGCAGCGACAUAAGCACUCCUGGGGAGUAUGUGCCACAUUAACACAAGGAGCCAAGUGUGCACACGCACAAGUGAUAUACUAACUGCGGUGGCUGUGUGCUAAUGUAACUUACAUUGACCAAAGUUUGUAGGUAGGCAUGGGCUAAGACAGUUUGAUUUGUACCCCAUUAAGACACAGGGUAAAACACACACCCUGUGGGUGGCUGACAGCCAGACUGGGAACUGUCCCAGGAGACUCCCUACCCAAAGAGUGCAGGACCUGGCUCUCAAUGUCAGGGAAGGAGAAAGCUCAGGGGUUCACACUUUGUCCUGCCCUGUUCACUCCUCCACACAAACUGUGAGGGUUAGAAGCAGGUCCUGUGUUGGAGCCAGACCUCUGGAUUUUCCACUAGCAUUUGUGUUUGCAGAGAUGCUGCACCGACAGAGGACAGCUGCCCUUUGAGCUAAUGGAAAGUUCAACCCAAUGAAUUUUUCAGUGGACACGUGAAGGAUUCAUGUUGUUGUAGCAGACAGGAAAGUGCUGGAUAACGAGUGCAAGGCAAGACAGGACAUCCAGGGAGAAUCCGUCCAAAAUCGUUACAUUUUUUAGGAUAAAAUACAGUUUUGUUCCUCGCAUCUCCUGUUCUGGGUUGAUCUUAGAGUAUCCCACAGCUGAGAAGGAAUGAUUCUUGGGGCAAUCUCAGGUUUGACUUAGGGUAAUAUCUGAAGUGCUUUGAGCUGAUCCAGGUUGCUCUCUGGGUCUGACCCCUGGAUGAGUCUGUUUGAUCUCCAUGGUGAUAUACAGUGAUUUCCAAAGGGAUCUAGGAGUCUUUAGGGGGAUCUGGGAGGUCUCCAAAGGGAUCUCUAAGGAGUCCAGGGGGGAUCCAAUAUUUUAAUUUUUUUUAAUCAGAGUUGAAAUCCCUGUAAUAGCAGCUGACAGAGAGAAUAAAGGAAUUCUAUACUCAUAACAUGUGUGAGCUCGGACAAUGAUUAACCAACAGACAAAUUAGUCAGAAAUGGAGCUGGUCAAGAAUAUCUAGCAAAAGUGGUCUUGUUGGAAAAUGGUAAUUCCUUGAAACCAAAGCUUUUCAAGAGGACAUACCAGAUUCAACUCACGUGUCACCAGGGAGUUUUCUCAGGGCCAGACUGGAAUCUCUGGCCAGAGAAAGCAAGAAUGAGCAAAGCCCCUUCUCAACUAGCCAGUGGUGAGGGCUUCAGCUGGGCUGCAGGAGACCCAAGUUCAAGUCCCUGCUCCGCAUCAGCCCAGCCCCGCUCUGUGCUCCAACCACUGCACUAUUGGCUAGUCUGGGGCCUCUCUCUCAUGCUGUGCUUGCUCCAGAAACACCACAAUAUUAACAACCUCCCUCAGAACACUGUCCUUGCCACCAUGGGUGUCACCUCCCUAUACACCAACGUCCUUCACCAUAAUGGCAUCGCUGCCUAUCUCAGAUAUCUACAAGACAAUGGGCAGCCCUCAGAUCUCCACCCCAAACACAUCACCAAACUCAUUCAUUUCAUCCUCACCCAUAACAACUUUACAUUCAGCAGCAAACACUUUGUUCAAACCAGGGGAAUAGUCAUGGGGACUAGGAUGGCUUCCUAACAGGCCAGCCUCUUCAUGGGCCACCUGAGUGAAAGACUUCUGGACAAAUGUACCACAAAACCAAUGAUAUACCUUGCGAUACAGUGAUGAUAUUUGCAUCCUCUGGACAGGCAAUCUAAACUCCCUCACAGACUUCCACGACAACUUUAACAACCACCUCUCGAGUACAGCAUCGACAUCGCUGCUCUCAGCGAAACAAGACGUGCAGAUGAAGGCACCUUGAGGGAAGAGGGCGCUUUCUUCUGAAAAGGAAAACCAGCAAGCGACAGGCGAAUACACGGUGUUGGCUUUCUAAUCAAAAACCUUCUAGUCAACCAUCAGACUGACCUCCCCGUCGGCAUCAAUGAGCGCCUUAUGACCCUCCGCAUCCAAUUGGUCAAUAAGUCAUUUGCCACUAUUGUCAGUGCAUAUGAACCAACUCUUGACACUGAAGAACAGAAAGAAUCCUUCUACACUGACCUUGAUACAAGUUUGUCAUCCAUUCCAAAAACAGAUAAGAUAAUCCUCGUACGGGACUUUAAUGCAAGAGUUGGCCAAGAUUCUAAUAUAUGGAGUAGCACCACUGGGAAGGAAGGAAGGAGUGGGCAAGACCAAUUCCAAUGGCAUCCUUCUACUCAGCAAAUGUACAGAGCACGACCUUGUGAUCACAAACAUAAUCUUCAGAAAGUGACAAAGAGUCCUGUGGCACCUUAUAAACUAACAGAAGUAUUGGAGCAUAAGCUUUCA